UACGUAGGGUGCGAGCGUUAAUCGGAAUUACUGGGCGUAAAGCGUGCGCAGGCGGUUUUGUAAGCCAGAUGUGAAAUCCCCGGGCUUAACCUGGGAAUGGCAUUUGGGACUGCAAGGCUGGAGUGUGGCAGAGGAGACUGGAAUUCUUGGUGUAGCAGUGAAAUGCGUAGAUAUCAAGAGGAACACCAGUGGCGAAGGCGAGUCCCUGGACGAUACCUGACACUGAGGCACGAAAGCUAGGGGAGCAAACAGG
rnacentral:rRNA from 1 species